rnacentral:rRNA from 1 species
UGCUCAGGUGGAUUUGUUAGUCAGAGGUGAAACUCCGGGGCUUAACUCCGGAACUGCCUUUGAUACUGCAAGUCUGGAGUUUGAGAGAGGGCAAUGGAAUAUCUGGUGUAGCAGUGAAAUGCGUAGAUAUCAGAUAGAACACCAAUGGCGAAGGCAGUUGCCUGGCUCAAUACUGACACUAAAGCACGAAAGUGUGGGGAGCAAACAGGAUUAGAUACCCUGGUAGUCCACACCCUAAACGAUGAGUACUAGACGUUGGUCUUUUUCAAGAUCAGUGUCUGAGCUAACGCAUUAAGUACUCCACCUGGGAAGUACGAUCGCAAGGUUGAA